rnacentral:rRNA from 1 species
AGAAUCAACGCUGGCGGCGUGCCUAACACAUGCAAGUCGCACGAGAAAGGGACUUCGGCCCUGAGUAAAGUGGCGCACGGGUGAGUAACACGUGAAUAAUCUACCUCCGAGUGGGGAAUAACUGAGAGAAAUCUUAGCUAAUACCGCAUAAUACCCACGGGUCAAAGCAGCAAUGCGCUUGGAGAGGAGUUCGCGGCCGAUUAGCUAGUUGGCGGGGUAAUGGCCACCAAGCGAUGAUCGGUAU